rnacentral:rRNA from 1 species
GGUGAACGCUGGCGGCAGGCCUAACACAUGCAAGUCGAGCGGCAGCGCGGGGGCAACCCUGGCGGCGAGCGGCGGACGGGUGAGGAAUUCGUCGGAAUCUGCCUUUUUGUGGGGGAUAACGUAGGGAAACUUACGCUAAUACCGCAUACGACCUACGGGUGAAAGUGGGGGACCGCAAGGCCUCACGCAGAAAGAUGAGCCGACGACCGAUUAGCUAGUUGGUGAGGUAAAGGCUCACCAAGGCGACGAUCCAUAGCUGGUUUGAGAGGAUGAUCAGCCACACUGGGAAUGAGACACGGUCCAGACUCCUACAGGAGUCAGCAGUGGGGAAUAUUGGACAAUGGGCGAAAGCCUGAUCCAGCCAUGCCGCGUGUGUGAAGAAGGUCUUCGGAUUGUAAAGCACUUUAAGUUGGGAGGAAGGGUAUUCACCUAAUACGUGGGUACUUUGACGUUACCAACAGAAUAAGCACCGGCUAACUCUGUGCCAGCCGCCGCCGUAAUAC